rnacentral:rRNA from 1 species
GCUUAACACAUGCAAGUCGAGCGGUGUUUUGGGUCCUUUCGGGGAACUGAAACAUAGUGGCGAACGGGUGAGGAACGCGUAAGAAUCUACCCUUUGGUGGGGGACAACAGCUGGAAACGGUGGCUAAUACCCCAUGGACUGAGGAGUAAAACGGGAAACCGGCCAAGGGAUGAGCUUGCGUCUGAUUAGCUAGUUGGUGGGGUAAUGGCCUACCAAGGCGACGAUCAGUAGCUGGUCUGAGAGGAUGAUCAGCCACACUGGGACUGAGACACGGCCCAGACUCCUACGGGAGGCAGCAGUGGGGAAUUUUCCGCAAUGGGCGAAAGCCUGACGGAGCAAUGCCGCGUGGAGGAUGAAGGCCCAUGGGUUGUAAACUCCUUUUCUCAAAGAAGAACUAACGUGACGGUAUUUGAGGAAUAAGCAUCGGCUAACUCCGUGCCAGCCGCCGCGGUAAAAC